UAGGGAAUCUUCCACAAUGGGCGAAAGCCUGAUGGAGCAACGCCGCGUGUGUGAUGAAGGGUUCCGGCUCGUAAAACACUGUUGUAAGAGAAGAAUGACAUUGAGAGUAACUGUUCAAUGUGUGACGGUAUCUUACCAGAAAGGAACGGCUAAAUACGUGCUAG
rnacentral:rRNA from 1 species